ensembl:lncRNA
ACUACACCAGACUCAUCAAACACAGCAAACGCAGUCACUUUGCCCGCUGUUGUUUUAAACAACCCUGCUCCACCAGUCGAGGAUACUAGCAAUCCAGGUCACGUGACUGAGGGUGUGUCUACUGGCACUGGUCCAUCGGAUGGGUUGUGGAAGCUAACCCUUGAUAAACGGCCGCCUGCUGGUGUCAAUCUUGUCUUGUUCGUUCCUGUUUGUCCAACACAAGCCAACGGGCUCCCGCUCCCAUCUGCAAUCCCUCAGACACUACCCAUCACAGCUAUGCAAGCUCUGCCUGAGGGUCCACUCGCAGUUGGUGCUGCUCUUGGAGCGACACUAAGUGCCCCACUGGAUCUGUUAACUGGGGUUAAACAGGAUCCAGAAGCACCCUUGGAUCUGUCUAAGAAGUCUGCAGUGACGUACCUUCCUGUUAAAGGUGAACCAGAAGAAUUUGAAAUCUCAGGACAGGCUGUAAAUGCUGGAAGGCAAGAAUUUGGAAACCAUCACAGCAAAGUGACAGCUAGAACAACCUCAAUAAAGACAGCUCCCACAGGACUCAUAGUGGAUAUAAAGAAAGAGCCUCAGACUUCUGGUUGUGAUUUGUGGUCGUCUGAAUCAAGCCAACUGACAGACUACAAGCUAGAGAAAGAGAUUAAGAUUGAAGUUAACAUUUCAAGUGCUGCUUAAUUGGAAAAGUCGUGUCUCCUAAAUGAGUUUUGCCGGAGCCGCUAUCACUGAGAAAGCUGAAGUUAGUCAGCAGCAGUUGCUCUACAUCAACGUCACAACAGAACCACUUUUGUAACAUGUUCCUGGUACAGCACCCAGCAAUCACAAAAGACAAAUGAGCUCGACUCUGAGGUUCAACUGCACUCCUGCAUGAUACAGAUCGUCUCAUGUGAGUACACCCUGACCAGGGAUAUCCUUGGUUGGUCAUCUCAGGCAUACAGCUAUAUGUAUAAGCACACAAGCUCCUCCCACCUGCUGUAUAAAACUGUUUGGGGGGUAGGGGUUGCCAUUCAGAGGAAAUGGAGCUCCAUCAUUGACAGUAUAAGAAUAUGUCUAGCUUAUUUUGAGCUUUGAGCUCAUAGGUCACUUUAUCAUGAAUUGGCCUCUACUUUCAGAAAUAUACAAUGAGAGAAUCUCGAUACGUGUGCAACAGACUGGAGACGGAGGAAUAUGUCUUUACCCGUUCAGACUCGAUGAUGGUUGUCUAGUAAGACGAUCAUCAUCGCUUCCACAGAACGGUGACCAGUGUGCUGGUUCAGACCUGAAGCUGACCUGCUCACAUGCUGUUCAUAUUAACAGACAAGGAUCCAUGUCUGAAAGGGGUCAAAGUGUGACAGUUUUCUUGCAUCUGUAAUUUAAACAAGACAUUCCAAGCUUUUAUUUAUCGAGGCACUUUUUUCUUCUUUCCUUUUGCAUUCAGAUAUAAGGCUGUAAAUUCAGCCUGCUGGAGGAAGAAUGAAUGGAGAUGAAUCCUAUGCAGUGUGAUGCAGAAUUUCUAUUAGCAUUAAAAUUUCUGUCAUGUUCUUAUCGUCUUGGAAAACUGAUUCUUUUUGUAAACUGUGUCAAAACUAGAGGGAAACAGGGUUUUUUUUUUUUCUUCUGAAAGCUUGUUUUGUAUAGUAACUAGCAUUUUAGUGCUAUGUUAAAUAUUUCAUUAUGAAUGGUACUGAUUAGUAGAAUGAAUAGAUGUCUUCUUGUGAUUAACAUUUCAUGACUCUAAACAGUCUGCAGGUAUAUUUUGUUUUUCUAAAGGUUAAUAAAUGCUUGUUUGGAUGCAAGGUGAGUCGCACUGAAACUGUUUUUUUU